rnacentral:lncRNA from 1 species
CUUAAGCUUCUUAACUUCAAUUAAUCCAAGCUUGUUAUCCUCUAAUAUAUUUCAAUCUUUGAUUCCAAUUUGGCUAAACUCCCUCAAACAUACGGUCCCUUCACUUUAUCAUAUUUGGAAAAUUUACAAAAUUCAAGCAAUUUGGGAGAGAGAUGGUUCGGUUAUAGGGAGGGAGGAUGAUACUUUGUUUUAUCAACUUAAUAUUAGAGUAGCUCUCACACUUCUUCCUCUCCUCUAUCUCACGGCAAAAAGGAAAGGAAAUUAUCUUUAGAAUAAAGCUUGCAAU